rnacentral:rRNA from 1 species
UACGUAGGGUGCGAGCGUUAAUCGGAAUUACUGGGCGUAAAGGGCUCGUAGGCGGCCAACUAAGUCAGACGUGAAAUCCCUCAGCUUAACUGGGGAACUGCGUCUGAUACUGGAUGGCUUGGAUUCGGGAGAGGGAUGCGGAAUUCCAGGUGUAGCGGUGAAAUGCGUAGAUAUCGAGAGGAACACCUGCGGCGAAGGCGGGUUGCUGGGCUGAUACUGACGCUGAGGCGCGAAAGCCAGGGGAGCGAACGGG